UAGACGCAGGUCAUCAACCUACAUCGAUUACGUCCCUGCCCUUUGUACACACCGCCCGUCGCUUCUACCGAUUGGUCGUCCCGGUGAACAAUCGGGAGGCCGUGCUCAUGGUCAGCAAUGGCCGGAGCGCGGUUGAACUUUUGUAAAUUUGGACGACUAGAGGAAGAAGAAGUCGUAACAAGGUUUCCGUAGGUGAACCUGCGGAAGGAU
rnacentral:rRNA from 1 species